GACUUAAUCCUCGUUAUACCCUGAUUUUGGACAAAUUUUACAAGAAGAAUAAGACUUCUACUUCUCUAUGUCUACAUGCACCUGGAACAGUGCUAGGUCUAUGCUUACAAAUUGAUUGGUUCAGGUCACCGCCAUGAGCCUCAGGACAGAAAAUUGCCGGAUAUGAGAGAGAGAGAGAUUUGACUGGGCUAAGAAAGAAAUGAACAUGAUUUAGAGAUGGAAAUGGUGACAUAUGGGCCUUUGAAGCCUCCCAUGUUCCAGAGAAGGUGAGGUUUCACCAUGUUAGUCAGGAUGGUCUCGAUCUCCUGACCUCGUGACCUGCCCACCUCGGCCUCCCAAAGUGCUGGGAUUACAGGCAUGAGCCAUUGUGCCUAACCUCAGAAACCAUUUUUAUAACCUCA